AGAGAGAAGAACAAAAAUAAAAGAGAAUAGAAAAAAACGAAGAGCCCAGAAAAUAGACUUUACUUUUCUAUUGGAGGGAAAAUGGAGACAAACAAAUUUACAACGUUUUCUCUUUUUCUGGGUUUGGUGAGAGAGAAUUUGUAAAAGCCCUGGAAUGUUAAGUCAUGAGAAAAGGCCUAAGGUCUUUUAUCGAUAGACAACAAACGACCCAAAGAGAGAGAGAGAGUAAAGAAAAGAGAUGAUGAUGAUAAGGAAGAAAAUAGAUUCUCCGCAUGGUUUUUGGCUUUAAAGAUUAACCCGGUUAACCUUAGACUGACCAUCACCACCAUCAUCAUUAUUUUCCAUUGAUUAUGACCAUUGAUAUGGAUCUUUUUUCGUUUUCUCUCUCUCUCUCUCUCGUCAUGUAAUCUAUGUAGAUGUUUGACCGGUGGACUUGUUCAUCUUUUCAUUGUACAGGUGAAUUAAAGGGUGAAGGUUGUGGAGAGAAAAUUUUUGGCCAUCAUGGAGAAAUUAAGGCGAACAUAAUUUGUUCUAUUCUAUUCCAUAAUUUUUGUCUUCCAUCAUAAUCUUCAUCCAUAUGAUGUGCUUUUGUUCUAAGACUUGGAUCAUCUUUCAUCUUCUACUACCACAGGACAUUGAGAAUACAAAUUCUCGGUCACGGCCAUUGGUCGAAUUAUAACUGUGUGGACUCUUCAAACAAUUGGAAUAGCAACAAAA